AUUGAACGCUGGCGGCAGGCCUAACACAUGCAAGUCGAGCGGAUGAAGGGAGCUUGCUCCUGGAUUCAGCGGCGGACGGGUGAGUAAUGCCUAGGAAUCUGCCUGGUAGUGGGGGAUAACGUCCGGAAACGGGCGCUAAUACCGCAUACGUCCUGAGGGAGAAAGUGGGGGAUCUUCGGACCUCACGCUAUCAGAUGAGCCUAGGUUGGAUUAGCUAGUUGGUGGGGUAAAGGCCUACCAAGGCGAUGAUCCGUAACUGGUCUGAGAGGGUGAUCGGUCACAAUGGGAAUGAGAGACAGGGCCAAGACCCACGGGGGGGAGCGGUGGGGGGAAUUUGGGAAUGGGGGAAAGACCGAGAGCGAACCGUCGCGGGGGUGAAGAAGGUGUUCGGAUAGUAAAAAUCUGUUUGUAGUGGAGAAAGGGGGUGAAAGUUAAAACCUCGUUGUUUGACGGUAACCAACAAGAAAGGGACGGGUAACUUCGUG
rnacentral:rRNA from 1 species